rnacentral:rRNA from 1 species
GAUGAACGCUGGCGGCGUGCCUAAUACAUGCAAGUCGAGCGAACGGACGAGAAGCUUGCUUCUCUGAUGUUAGCGGCGGACGGGUGAGUAACACGUGGAUAACCUACCUAUAAGACUGGGAUAAAUUCGGGAAACCGGAGCUAAUACCGGAUGAUAUUUUGAACCGCAUGGUUCAAAAGUGAAAGACGGUCUUGCUGUCACUUAUAGAUGGAUCCGCGCUGCAUUAGCUAGUUGGUAAGGUAACGGCUUACCAAGGCAACGAUGCAUAGCCGACCUGAGAGGGUGAUCGGCCACACUGGAACUGAGACACGGUCCAGACUCCUACGGGAGGCAGCAGUAGGGAAUCUUCCGCAAUGGGCGAAAGCCUGACGGAGCAACGCCGCGUGAGUGAUGAAGGUCUUCGGAUCGUAAAACUCUGUUAUUAGGGAAGAACAUAUGUGUAAGUAACUGUGGACAUCUUGACGGUACCUAAUCAGAAAGCCACGGCUAACUACGUG